GCCUGAAACCGUAGUUUCGGGAUUCAAAAUCCGCCGUAGCAAUACGUGUCGGUUCGAGUCCGACCCCGGGCACCA
rnacentral:tRNA from 1 species